GGUUCAAUGGUGUAGUUGGUUAUCACGUCCGUCUCACAAGGUUCAAAACACGGGAGGUCUCCAGUUCGAGCCUGGAUUGAACCA